GCUUGCUCCCUAUUUAGGAUAAUGCAGUCGAGCGAACGGACGAGAAGCUUGCUUCUCUGAUGUUAGCGGCGGACGGGUGAGUAACACGUGGAUAACCUACCUAUAAGACUGGGAUAACUUCGGGAAACCGGAGCUAAUACCGGAUAAUAUUUUGAACCGCAUGGUUCAAAAGUGAAAGACGGUCUUGCUGUCACUUAUAGAUGGAUCCGCGCUGCAUUAGCUAGUUGGUAAGGUAACGGCUUACCAAGGCAACGAUGCAUAGCCGACCUGAGAGGGUGAUCGGCCACACUGGAACUGAGACACGGUCCAGACUCCUACGGGAGGCAGCAGUAGGGAAUCUUCCGCAAUGGGCGAAAGCCUGACGGAGCAACGCCGCGUGAGUGAUGAAGGUCUUCGGAUCGUAAAACUCUGUUAUUAGGGAAGAACAUAUGUGUAAGUAACUGUGCACAUCUUGACGGUACCUAAUCAGAAAGCCACGGCUAACUACGUGCCAGCAGCCGCGGUAAUACGUAGGUGGCAAGCGUUAUCCGGAAUUAUUGGGCGUAAAGCGCGCGUAGGCGGUUAUUUUAAGUCUGAUGUGAAAGCCCACGGUUCAACCGUGGAGGGUCAUUGGAAACUGGAAAACUUGAGUGCAGAAGAGGAAAGUGGAAUUCCAUGUGUAGCGGUGAAAUGCGCAGAGAUAUGGAGGAACACCAGUGGCGAAGGCGACUUUCUGGUCUGUAACUGACGCUGAUGUGCGAAAGCGUGGGGAUCAAACAGGAUUAGAUACCCUGGUAGUCCACGCCGUAAACGAUGAGUGCUAAGUGUUAGGGGGUUUCCGCCCCUUUAGUGCUGCAGCUAACGCAUUAAGCACUCCGCCUGGGGGAGUACGACCGCAAGGUUGAAACUCAAAGAAAUUUGACGGA
rnacentral:rRNA from 1 species